UACGUAUGGUGCAAGCGUUAUCCGGAUUUACUGGGUGUAAAGGGAGCGUAGACGGUGCUAUAAGUCUGAUGUGAAAGCCCGGGGCUCAACCGCGGGACUGCAUUGGAAACUGUAGGACUGGAGUGUCGGAGGGGUAAGUGGAAUUCCUAGUGUAGCGGUGAAAUGCGUAGAUAUUAGGAGGAACACCGGUGGCGAAGGCGGCUUACUGGACGACAACUGACGCUGAGGCUCGAAAGCGUGGGGAGCAAACAGG
rnacentral:rRNA from 1 species